AUUUGCUCUGACGACAAACCUUCAUUGUUUCAUUGGUGCCGAAACCUGGAAGGGGGAAUGCCGCGCUGCUCGAGGGCCCCCUCUCUCAAGGCUUGCCGUCCUGGUCCACUCUUUCGAGCACUGUUUACAAAACCAGAUCUUCAGUAGGUGAGUUGCCCUAUCGGGUAUCCAACUUCAGAUGGGCUACACAGGGGCUUUGACCGUGAUCGUCUGGCAAACCUCUGACGCCCAAUCUGGAGGAGAGAACGCACCCCACCACGACCUUCAUGGUCACGGUGGACUCUCUGGAGCCUGGUUCAUGAGCAGGAGGUACUGAGUGGUAGAAGAACAGGCACUCCUCUCUCUCUCUCUCUCUCUCUCUCUCUCAACCACCCUUGUCCCUCUCCUGACCUAUGGGGGCCUCUUCUUCCCUCCCUGCAGACUCCCCCUUAUUAAAUUCUGCACACAAGAUUGGCCUUACUAUCAAUUAGACAAUCAAAGUCAAUGGCCCCCAGGAGGAUCCCUAGAUCCUGCAGUUCUCAGAGAUCUGUUUAACUCCUGGGAGCACUUGAAAAAGUGGAAGGAGUUCCCCUAUGUUGAGGCUUUUUCUCUUCUUUGUUCUCACCCUGACCUAUCCGGGAGAUGAACCCCCUCAUUACUGACCUCCUCUGUCGGCUCUGUCCAGCCCCUCAGGUGCUCCCCUUGACUCAGCCAACACCUUUAGUUCCCCCCAGACUAGGUCCUUCCCCUAGUCCCACAAAUCAUGGCCCCUUUUAGGGAGGUUGCUGGACCUGAGGGCAUUAUCCGGGUACAUGUCCCAUUCUCUAUGAAUGACCUCACGCAACUUGAGCGAAGUUUGGGCUCAUUCACCAUAGAAGAGAGUUUCAAUGGGUCCUCCAGGCUUAUAGCCUCACUUAUAUGUUAUUGGCUAAUACUCUCUUUCUUGAGGAACAUACCAGAGUCUGGGAACUUGCCAGAGCCCAUGUGGAUGAAACUCACCGAGUUAAUCCCAAUCACCCUCUGGGGCCACUUGCUGCCCCAGAUCAAACUCCCGACUGGGAUUAUACACAAGCUGGCAUACAGAGUAGGGACCAAUUCUCCACAUGUAUUAUUGCUGGGCUCAAAAAAACAGCAUGUAAAGCCAUCAAUUUCCAAAAAUUGCAAGAGACCCCAUCAGAAUUUCUGGAUCGUCUUAGAAAGCCCUUCAGCAGUAACCUAGAUCCCGAAACCCCAGAUGGCUGUCAUUCCUUAUGACAUAUUUCCUCUCGCAGAGCUACCCUGACAUCUGGGCCAAACUAGAAAAGCUCGAAUAAGGCCCUGCCACCCCCCAGACUGAGCUCUUGGUGGUAGCCUUUAAGGUUUUUAUCUCGCCCAGGCCCUGCAGGGUGCUUCCUUGGGUCGCCACCCAUCACCAAACCCCCCCCCCCCCCCCCCCCCCCCCCCCCCCAAACCCCCCCCCCCCCCCCGGGUGCCUGCUUCAAGUAUGGCAAGGAGGGACAUUGGGCCAGGGCAUGCCCUGCACCAUGCACUCCAUGUACCCCAUGCCCUAAAUGUCAACAACAAGGUCAUUGGGGCUCUGACUGUCCUAGAUCCUGUAGGAGGCCUAUGGCCAGGGAACCCUCUGACCUUCUGGGCAUGGCAAUCAAUUGAUGGAGCCUUGGGUCCUUGUCCCUGGCUAUAAUGAUCAAUAGACAGGAACUCAGGGUGUGGAUUCAGGUGGAUGGACGCAAGGUUGACUUUCUCCUUGACACCAGAGCUACCUUCUCAGUCCUGACAGAAUUCUGGGGGCAAACAGUGCCGUCUACCUCUCCUAUUGUCAGGGUAGGAGGAAAGACCAUCUAUCCAAGAAAGACUCCCCUAUUACUGUGUUCCAUAGACAACUUCCCAUUCUCUCAGACAUUCCUAGUUAUGCCCCAAUGUGCAGUUCCUUUGCUUGGCUGAGAUAUUCUCUCUAAAUUCAAUACAACAAUCAACAUCUGGGCUCCUGGCAUCAGUCAGGCCCCAGAAUCGGCCUGUUCAUCUUUUCUGGCCCUUUUGGCAGAAGACUGGCCAUUCUUGUGAGGCUGACAUGAAACACUAUACUAACCUGGUUGACCUGAUUGUAAAGGGAUACCCACACCUCCUCCACCAUCCUGCCCACCAGUUAAUAUUCAUCUCAAAGAUCCUAACAUCUUCCCAACAGGCUCAAUACCCCCUGUCCACCAAAGCUCUUCUGGACCUACAACCUAUUAUUCAGGAUCUUCUUAGCAAGGGGUACCUCUGUCCUGCUCAUUCCCCUUACAAUACUCCCAUACUAGCGGUAAAGAAGCCCAACGGGUCCUACCUACGACUCAUCAACACCUCCGUUAGGCCCAUACAUCCUUUGGUUCCCAACCCAUAAACCCUGCUGUCUCAGAUCCCCCACACUGCCACCCACUUCUUGGUCAUAGAUUUAAAGGAUAUCUUUUUGCCUUUAACCUGGACUGUCCUUCCUCAGGGAUUUCAAGAUAGUCCACAUCUCUUUGGACAAACCUUGGCCUCCGACCUCCAAUCUUUUCACCCCCAGUGCCCUGAAUCCACCCUCUUUGCAAUAUUAUCAUCCAGCAAAUCUCUUUGCCCACCUGCGGGGAGGAAAGCACCCCACCACAGCCCUCAGGGACUCCUUCCUUGGGCAGAUUCAAAAGUCCUAGUCUUCUCACCUUUAAGACUCGGCUGCUAGAGAGACACUUACCCACCCCUUCCUCUCCCCUCUUUCCAGCCCUGGGAGUAUCCAGCCUCUCCAGGAGGGGUCCCAAAAAGCCUUGGCCAAGGUCUCCCAUGGCUCUGGUUCCAUCCAGGAUGAGAGCUUCGACUGUCAGGAAUUGGUGAUGACCAAUCUCUGCAGCUCGAACCUGCCACUUAGGCACUCCUGAUUUUUUGGCUCUAGCGGGGAUGCCCCUUUUGCCAAUAAAUCAGUUUUCUCCUUCUCUGUGUCCUCUUCCCUCCUCCUUACAUGGGUAAUGUUUCCUCUCUGCCGGUCAACUCUCCCCUACAAUGCCUCUUGGAUCAAAUAUAGCACCCAGGCCUGGCCCACUUAUCCCUUAGACAACCAAAGCAGAUGGCCCCUUUUUGGGUCCCUGGAUACCUCCAUUCUAAGGGAUCUCUUCCAGGCUUUCUUCUUGCUCCGAUCCAAUCCUGCUCUCUGCACCCCUUGCAAACCUCUACAAAUUCUUCUAGCCCAUCCAAAGGGCACUCAACAGAUGACGCAGUUCUCCUACUUAAUUUCUUUGCCUUAAAGGGAUAUUGAGCCUCUCCACAAAAGGCUCAAAUAGCAUGUAUCUAGGGUUCUCUAUCUCUCGAGGGAAAAAGGCCAUUUCAGUAGACAGAAAACAGCUUAUUGUGUCUAUAUCUACACCAAAGACCAAAGAUGACUCUCCUUCUUGGGUUUGGCUGGGUACUUCAGGGCCUGGAUUACUUUUGAAUUUCUCCCUCCUUGCCAGGCCAUUAUAUAAUCUAGCCAAGAGCCCCCAAGAUAACCCCUACCCUCAGCGGUAGGGAAGCCCUUUACAAAAAGACCCUCCUCUGGGCACCUGCCCUGCAUCUCCCCAACCUCUCCCAACCCUUCACCCUCUAUGUACAUGAAAAACAGGGACAAAGUCUGGGCGUUCUGGGUCAGGAAUAUGGCCCCACAUUUGCACUAGUGGCCUACCUAUCCAAACAGCUUGACCCCCAUGCCUCAGAGCCCUAGCAGCAGCCCAUGACCUCCAGAAAGAAGCACACCAGCUUACCUUUGGCUCCCCACUCACUCCCUCCUCCCAUCUUCUCCCUCACAAGAUCCCAUCCACAAAUACCUGGAGGUAUUAGAGAUGAUUUUACCCUUCCCUACCACGAUUUCUGAGGGACCCUGCCCUCUUCAGACCUCGUCUGCUUCUCAGAUGGUAGCUCCUUUAUACACAAAGGGGUUAAAGUGGUGGGGUAUGCUGUCGUUUCCCUCUCAUCCAUCAUAGAGGCAAAACCUCUCCCACCCAAUACCACCAACCAACAAGCUAAACUCACAGCUGCCACAAGGGCAUGUGAGCUAGUGGAGGGAAAAACCUUCUCCCUAUAUACAGAUUCCAAAUACGUCUUCCAUACCCUGAUCCCCCACGCAGCCAUUCGGAAAGAAAGGGGGCUACUACCAGAGGGACGGCAGUCAUUAAUUCCACACUUAUUUCUGGCCUACUAUGAGCCUCCAGGCUGCCUUCCCAACUGGGAAUAAUCCAUUGCAAGGUCCACUAAACCGAUUCCUCCCUUACUACUAUGGGGAAUUCCAAGGCCCAUCAAGCGGCUCUAUCAGCCGCCCUUCAGAGCUUUACCUCCUCUCUGCUACUCUUCGUUACCACCAGGGAUCGGUCCAAAGAUCCCCAACAACUCUUCCAGUUUCUUCACUCUCUAUUCCAUUCUAGUCCACAGAGUCUCAUUAACUUUCCUUCACUCCUUUUUCACCCUUUCCCCAUGUGAUAAGACCCUCCUACAACAGAUCACUUCCACUUGUCAGAUCUGCCAGAGAACCAAUACCAAUACUCCAUUAAAACCUAAACCUUUCCCUUCUCAUCAGGCCCGCGGUCAUACCCCAGUUGCAGACUGGCAGAUUGAUUUCACCAGCAUGCCCUGAGUAAAAAACAAGCCUUUCCCACUUCUAACAAGCAGGCCUCCAUGGUAGUUGACUCACAUAAUCCCCCGUUUUGGGAUGCCCACUUCUAUCCAAUUAGACAAUGGCUCAGAAUUCACCUCGCAGGUAUCUCAGGGACUAGCUCAUAUGCUAUCACUCCCUUGGCAUUUCCAUUGCCCUUACCACCCCCAGGCUUCUGGAAAGGUUGAAAGGACCAAUCGGUCCCUUAAAGAGACCCUCACUAAGCUCACCAUGGAAUUAAGCCUGGACUGGGUAAAGGUUCUCCCCUUGGCUUUAUUGCGCAUUAGGGCCCUGCCAAAAAAGCCUUCUAAUCUCUCACCUUUCAAAGUCAUGUAUGGCCAUCCCCUCGUUGCUUCUGGACUGCCUACAGAACCCCUACCCAUCUCCAAAACCUAUGCCCUGCCCCUCCUCUUCCAUCUACGCUCUGAACUCUGGCGCUAUCAAGACUGGCUCCUUCCUGACCCCAGUCUCUUUCAAAACCCUACCUCCUUAACACCUGGUCAACUUGUUUACUAUUGCCCACUGGGGGAAAAGCCCCCUCUAAAACCAAAAUGGAAGGGCCCUGCUCAGGUGAUUAUGUGCACACCCUCAGCAGCCAAACUCAAACUACCUAAUAACCAACUUACCCCAUGGAUUCACAUUUCCAGGCUUAAGCCCGGCACUCCUACACCUUCAUCAGAAGAGCCAAGGAUCCUCACCAGUCAUUAAGUACUCUUGUCAAUGCUCCCCCUCAUUUCUGGCCCCUCUUGGGUCCUCUCUUCGCCCUAUGUCUGAAGACUCAAGGCAAGUGACCUAAGGGCCCCCUCCAGCCAGACUCCCCCCCACUUGCUUGGAUCUGGCUGGUAGUGGGACCGUUGUGUGUUGUCCUUCUGACAAACCACUUAGGUGUCCAGAGCAUGGUGACCCCUGAAUAAGUGUGAUCAUAAGAGAGCACUUUACCAGUUGCCUUCUGGGCCUAUGGAGAAACAUGUGUGUUUUGUUUACCCUCCCAGUUUCAUUGAGGUGUAACUGAUGUGCAGGACCCUGCACAUAGUUGGCGCGUACAGUUUGGGCAUGUGCACACGCUGGUGUUCCCAUCACCACCCUCCAACAGCGUUCCCAUGCUUGGGUUCCUGGUGAAGUUGUUUCUUCCUGUUGCUUACAUCUACCCCUACCUGAGUUACCUUCAGUGAGUCCAUGACUGUCCUGGGAGGCAACCUGAGCUCUCCUUGGGUGAGGUGUUGGGUGUGCUCUUGUCCAGCCCACCUGCUCUCACUCUGUCUUCCCUAGUCUGAAGUGCUCUCUCCAUCCUUCCUUUCCUCAACUUGUCCAUCCUGUGUGGAGGUCGCCCUAUUAUGGUGAUCCACAUGCCCUGCUUCUGAAAAACCAAGAUGCUUCUUUGGGUCCUGCCCGUUUGCCAAUAGAAAAGUGAGAAGCUCUGGUGUCAUGAACUAGUUACAGGCUUUGAAAGAGUUUCUUCUUUUCCCAUGUGUAUGUGUGUGUAUGUGUAUCAGUAAUAAUAUUGUUUGUGAAUUUAAUUUUCUAGGGUUGAAUUCGAAAAAAAAGAUCUGCAGAGAGGAGUUGAAAACAGCAGGACUAAUGGUCAUGAGAGAUGUGUCCAUUGCAAAAUCAGAAUACAUUCCAAGUGAGAAAAUUAUCUUGAAGGUCCACAAUUUCCAAGAAAUAAGGAGCUCUUCAGAUACUGCGCUCUCCCAGAGGUUAGAGACUGCUCUUGUUUUGGUUUCUCCUUCAUAGCCAGGCUUCAGGUCUUCCCCAAGAUCUGCUGGUUGUCCUGGCUUUAACCCCUUUCUACACAUGGUGCGUCUCAGCUGGAGGUGAUUUUUCCCCUCAGUGGAUAUUGGCAAUGUCUCAAGACUUUCUUGGUGGUGGCAACAGCAGGGUUGGUGUGCUAGAGGCUUCUAGUAACUAAAGGCCAAGGAUGUGGUAAUGGGGUCCAAAUCCUAUAAUGCCCUCUCUCCAAAGAAUGAUCUCACCCAAGAUGCCAAUAGCACCAAGACUAAGAAACACUGCUAUGGAGUGUGCUAAUUAUCUUUUUAUAAGGAAGACAGGAAUUCUGUGUUAAAGAGAAAGAGCCCUUCUAAGACUGAAUAUCAUCAGAGGUGAAAUUGUGAGGCUGUUAUUUGUAAAUCCAUUGAAUUUUUUUCAUUUGUUUCUGAUCACUGGAAGUAUGAAUUUUCUUUUACAUUUAAAUUAGUUUUGAUUUAAUCUUUUUGACAUACUAAGGAUUGAACUUUGGAGCCCUUUAUCACUGAACUACACUCUCAACCCUUUUUAUUCUUUGUUUUAAGAAAAUUGAGGCUGGCCUUGAAUUUAUGAUUUUCCUGCCUCAGCCUUUAUUUUAUCACACAAAGAUUUUCUUACCCAGAAACACUUCUUUUUCUUCGACUAAAUAUAGUUUUUAUACCUGUAACUCCUAAUUUCCCUUUCCCAUCUGUUAACACCUUUUUCUGUUCACAUUCUGAAAUGAUCCUUGUAAAUUUCUGAAUUUAGGCAAAUUACUCCAUUUUAAUGAGAAUAAAUACUUUAUGUUGUUUAUAGUACUCUAAUCAAAAAUUAAACUAUUAUAUAAAAUUACAUUCAACUAUAUGUAUAAGUCAUGGUCACAACACAGUCACUAAUCAAAACACAGUUGAAACUUUUGGGUCCCUUUGUAUACAGAAUCACAUCUGUUUUAUCAUUUUAUAAAAACAUAAACAAUGUUUAAGUAUAUCGAAUUAUACCUGUUGGGACUUUAAAAUCUUAGUAACCUUAUUUUUGAGGAUGACAAAGCAAUUUUAAAAUCUUUUUUUUAAUUUACCAAUUUAUGAAAACACCAACAAUGUUACCCAAUGGAAUUCAAGGAGUUAAGGGUACUUGAUAUUGUAUUUAACAGUUAGAAUUUUAACUUGGAAAGUUAACCAUAUGUCUGACAAGCACAUUUAUGAGUAAUCCCAAGUCAAAUCUAAUUUAUUUAUUUUUACUGUGAAAACCAUGGUAUCUGACAGUGUUUUGAACAAUAUUAGCUAUCUCUCCCUUUUGAAGAAAAGUCUAGAAAUUAUGAAUAUUAGACUUUUUGUAGACAUCAGUAUUUUAUUAGUGUUUUUUUGACCACCUAGAGAGACUUGUGAGUUAAGUAAUUUUAAAGACAUCUUUACUUUAAAUUGAGCCAUCUUAAAUCAUGUGAAUUAAAGGUAAUUGGAUCUACUUUUUUUUAAAUUUAUGAGCACUCAUUAUAUGCCAAUUUUGCUAUCAUGUAUAUGAUAUAUGGAUGCAUGUAUACAUAGACAACACAAUACACAGCAUGCACACACAAAAGUAAAGGCUUUGUAGCUUUUCACAGGUGAAUCUCCAUUGCAAUGUUAUAGAUGUUUAAAAACUCUGUAGUUGAAUAAAAAAUAGGACUGAGAAGAAAAACACUAACCUGGGUGUGUAGGAUGAAAAUCAUGAAUUCAAAAAAUAUGGAAUUUAAGGGAAAAAAAACAAAGAGUCCUAGAAAAAAAUAAGUGGCCAGUAACUAGUAAAGUACCAUACAAUUUAUUUUUUGGUUCAGGCUAGUGUGAGUUCAGGUAAAAGACACUUUUUUCCUAGGAUCUUAAUCUGGUCUCCUACUGAGUCUGCCCUGGCUGAGAUCUGGAAGGAGCUGAGGAAAACUGCCCUUCUGAGCAGAAAUCUCAUGCAGAAGGGUAUUAACCAUUUUUUUCCUAGUUGGUAAUUGGACAGGUUUGGAUGUAGAAAAUUAUGAUACCUAUUUUCUAUUAUUUUUUUUUUUUGAGAAAAAAGCUACUAUAUUAAGCUCCUUACUGAGAUAAGCUUCUGACUGUUGAGCAAGUCUGUUCUUUUGUGUGACCAUUCCUAGGGCUAUUCCUCCUCUCUCUGUGACAAACAGGUUAAAUCUUUCUCCAUAGGUAAGCUGAGGAGAGGGACUCAAAAUAAGGCCAUGUUUUAAUGUCUUAAAGGUUUUGAAAGCCUGCUCAUAACUCAGAGGGGAGUAAACUUUUUGGUAACAGGCUGUUCAAACAUCCCAAAGAGGUCUAGGGUAAGAGGUGAGAACAGAGGAGCUGGCACUAGUAUCCAAGAGGAAAUUGACCUCUUGGCUCCCUACAUAGAAGCAGGAAAGCAUACCUGGGACUCACAGGUGGUGAUUGGAGUUACAGAAGUCAUCAGAAUUGGCUUAGGGCUCUGUCAGGUCUGUGUGGAGGAAUUUGGCCUUUUCUUUUCCCAUCUGGGAAGUUUUCUGCUCACAGUGAGGGACAGGAUGCAUGGGAGAGUGUAGUUCCAGGGCUUGGGAGUAGAUUGUUCUCUGAGAUGCUGUUGAGAUUCACAGUAGCGGCAGUGGAAGAUCUGCUUAGCUUAGCUGGGGUCACAUAGGCACCUGGUCCAGGAAGGAAGGGCACUGGAUCAAAGCCACAAUGUUGAGCAGUAGGACAAUGAUCAUUCCCCCAAAAGAUACUCUUAGGAUUAAGAAUGGGACACUUCUGCCCAGAUGCAUAAAGGGUCAUCAACUGUAGUCACUUCUCACUUGAGUUUCUUUAAUAAGGACAUAACCCGUUUUUUAGAGUUAUGACUACCUUUGGAAAUAGUUAUCAACAAACAAACGUUGAACUUACUAUUCUCUUUUAUUCUGAACAUGACAUAGUCCUUUGAACACAGAAAAAAUGAGCAUGUUCUCCACUCUGUUUUGGGAGAGUAAUAAACCUCUCUAAGACACCCUGAGUAAUAUAAGAAUGAUGUGAACAAAAUCCUAGGUGAGGAGAAUGUCAGGCUGGGGAAAUGAUGUUAUAGAUUCAGGC
rnacentral:lncRNA from 1 species